ensembl:lncRNA
GGGGGGUUGUUUUGUAGAAAUCAACAGAAUGAAAAUAAAAUUUACAUGGAAAAGCAAACGACAUUGAAUAACCCAUCUUGAAGAACAAAGUUGGAAGACUUCCACUCUCCUUGAUUCUAAGACUACAGUAACUAAGACAGUGUAGUACUGGCACAGACAUAAAUAUAUAGAUCAAUGAAACAGCAGAGAGUGCAGAAAUAGACUCACCCAUACAAUUAGGUGGGUUUGUUUCUUUGUUUUUUGGUAGUGCCAAGCAGCUUGUGGGAACUUAGUUCUCUGACCAAGGAAUGAACCCAGAUCUUCAGCAGUGAAACGGGAAGCUUAACCACCUGCCUGCCAGGGAAUCCCCCAGUUAAGCGUGUUUUAUGACAAGGGCAUCAAUGUAAUUCGUACCAAAACCAAAAUAAUUCAAGAUCGAUGUUGGACCAAAAUGUUAAAGAUGAAACUAUAAUGCUUCUAGAAGAAAAAAAAAAAACCUGAAGAAUCUUUUCCUAACCUUCAGAAAGAUCCCAUGGUUUUACAGGAAAGACAGGUCCUUUUGUGGUGGCUAAACUUCAGAAAGAUUUUUCCUGCGCAAGACGGGAUAAGGGAAGACGGAGACGACCACUGGCCACUGAGAUGGUCGAGUGGAGGAAGGAAUGGUAGCCCCGGGGGAGACGGGGAGAGUGGAAACGGAGAAUGCAAAACUCAAGGCGAUUCCUGAGUUAGAGCGCCAGUCAUCUCGGCCGAUGGGCUAGGCAGGAGCACGCGGCUCCCACCUGCGAAGGAGUCCUGAGCAAGAGUAUUUUUUGGUACUAAGCAGGCAGAGGGGCACAGCAGCUCCCACCCGGGCGGUCCAGGUUGAAUUCACACAAGUGGAGGCUGCCCCAAACACGGACGCGGCCGCCCAGGGAGCGCGGACGGAAGCGGAAACAGGCUCGGGCCUGAUGACGGUGGGGGCCAGCGCCCGGAGGAGAGUCAGGCCGGCAGCAGCACCUUAACCGACCGGCGAGUAACCGCAGUUUUGGCUGGAGCAGCUGUGAAGAGAUAUCACACGUCCAAGGUAAGAGAAACCCAAGUAAGACGGUAGGUGUUGCAAGAGGGCAUCAGAGGGCAGACACACUGAAACCAUAAUCACAGAAAACUAGUCAAUCUAAUACACUAGGACCACAGCCUUGUCUAACUCAAUGAAACUAAGCCAUGCCCUUGUGGGGCCACCCAAGAUGGGAGGGUCAUGGUGGAGAGGUCUGACAGAAUGUGGUCCACUGGAGAAGGGAAUGGCAAACCACUUCAGUAUUCUUGCCUUGAGAACCCCAUGAACAGUAUGAAAAGGCAAAAUGAUAGGAUACUGAAAGAGGAACUCCCCAGGUCAGUAGGUGCCCAAUAUGCUACUGGAGAUCUGUGGAGAAAUAACUCCAGAAAGAAUGAAGGGAUGAAACCAAAGCAAAAACAACACACAGUUGUGGAUGUGACUGGUGAUAGAACCAAGCUCCGAUGCUAUAAAGAGCAAUAUUGCAUAGGAACCUUAAUGUUAGGUCCAUGAAUCAAGGCAAAUUGGAAGUGGUCAAACAGGAGAUGGCAAGAGUGAAGACUGACAUUCUAGGAAUCAGUGAAGUAAAAUGGACUGGAAUGGGUGAAUUUAACUCAGAUGACCAUUAUAUCUACUACUUCGGGCAGGAAUCCCUCAGAAGAAAUGGAGUAGCCAUCAUGGUUAACAAAAGAGUCUGAAAUGCAGUACUUGGAUACAAUCUCAAAAAUGACAGAAUGAUCUGUUUGUUUCCAAGGCAAACCAUUCAGUAUCACAGUACUCCAAGUCUAUGCCCCAACCAGUAAUGCUGAAGAAGCUGAAGUUGAACGGUUCUAUGAAGACCUACAAGACCUUCUAGAACUAACACCCCAAAAAGAUAUCAUUUUCAUUAUAGGGGACAGUAAUGCAAAAGUAGGAAGUCGAGAAACACCUGGAGUAACAGGCAAACUUGGCCUUGGAGUAUGGAAUGAAGCAGGGCAAAGGCUAAUAGAGUUUUGCCAAGAGAACGCACUGGUCAUAACAAACUCCCUCUUCCAACACAAGAGAAGACUCUACAUAUGGACAUCACGAGAUGGUCAAUACCAAAAUCAGAUUGAUUAUAUUCUUUGCAGCCAAAGAUGGAGAAGCUCUAUACAGUCAGCAAAAACAAGACCGGGAGCUGACUGUGGCUCAGAUCAUGAGCUCCUUAUUGCCAAAUUCAGACUUAAAUUGAAGAAAGUAGGGAAAACCACUAGACCAUUCUGGUAUGACCUAAAUCAAAUCCCUUAUGAUUAUACAGUGGAAGUGAGAAAUAGAUUUAAGGGCCUAGAUCUGAUAGAUAGAGUGCCUGAUGAACUAUGGACUGAGGUUCGUGAUAUUGUACAGGAGACAGGGAUCAAGACCAUCCACAUGGAAAAGAAAUGCGAAAAAGAAAACUAGCUGUCUGGGGAGUGCUUACAAAUAGCUGUGAAAAGAAGUGAAAAGCAAAGGAGAAAAGGAAAGAUAAGCAUCUGAAUGCAGAGUUCCAAAGAAUAGCAAGAAGAGAUAAGAAAGACUUCCUCAGCAAUCAAUGCAAAGAAAUAGAGGAAAACAACAGAAUGGGAAAGACUAGAGAUCUCUUCAAGAAAAUUAGAGAUACCAAGGGAACAUUUCAUGCAAAGAUGGGCUCGAUAAAGGACAGAAAUGGUAUGGACCUAAUAGAAGCAGAAGAUAUUAAGAAGAGGUGGCAAGAAUACACAGGAGAACUGUACAAAAAAGAUCUUCACAACCCAGAUAAUCACGAUGGUGUGAUCACUCACCUAGAGCCAGACAUCCUAGAAUGUGAAGUCAAGUGGGCCUUAGAAGGCAUCACUAUGAACAAAGCUGGUGGAGAUGAUGGAAUUCCAGUGGAGCUAUUUCAAAUCCUGAAAGAUGAUGCUGUGAAAGUGCUGCACUCAAUAUGCCAGCACAUUUGGAAAACUCAGCAGUGGCCACAGGACUGGAAAAGGUCCGUUUUCAUUCCAAUCCCAAAGAAAGGCAAUGCCAAAGAAUGCUCAAACUACCGCACAGUUGCACUCAUC